rnacentral:rRNA from 1 species
UACAGAGGUGGCAAGCGUUGUUCGGAAUUACUGGGCGUAAAGGGCGCGUAGGCGGUUCAUUAAGUCCUGUGUGAAAUCCCCCGGCUCAACUGGGGAACUGCACAGGAAACUAGCGGGCUUGAGUUCGGGAGAGGGAAGCGGAAUUCCGGGUGUAGCGGUGAAAUGCGUAGAUAUCCGGAGGAACACCGGUGGCGAAGGCGGCUUCCUGGACCGACACUGACGCUGAGGCGCGAAAGCUAGGGGAGCAAACGGG